ACAGGUAAAGACACAGACAGACAGAUGGACAGACAGACAGGUAGAGACACAGACAGACGGACAGAGACAGACAGAUGAAGACACAGACAGACAGGUAGAGACACAGACAGACAAACAGAUGGACAGACAGAAAGGUAGAGACACAGACAGGUAUAGACACAGACAGAUGGACAGACAGACAGGUAGAGACACAGACAGAUGGACAGACAGACAGGCAGACAGACAGGUAGACAGACAGACAGGCAGACAAACAGACAGACAGACAGACAGGUAGA